rnacentral:rRNA from 1 species
AGUGAACGCUGGCGGUAGGCCUAACACAUGCAAGUCGAACGGGAGCACAGUAAGAGCUUGCUCUUACGGGUGGCGAGUGGCGGACGGGUGAGGAAUACAUCGGAAUCUACUUUUUCGUGGGGGAUAACGUAGGGAAACUUACGCUAAUACCGCAUACGACCUACGGGUGAAAGCAGGGGAUCUUCGGACCUUGCGCGGUUGAAUGAGCCGAUGUCGGAUUAGCUAGUUGGCGGGGUAAAGGCCCACCAAGGCGACGAUCCGUAGCUGGUCUGAGAGGAUGAUCAGCCACACUGGAACUGAGACACGGUCCAGACUCCUACGGGAGGCAGCAGUGGGGAAUAUUGGACAAUGGGCGCAAGCCUGAUCCAGCCAUACCGCGUGGGUGAAGAAGGCCUUCGGGUUGUAAAGCCCUUUUGUUGGGAAAGAAAAGCAGCAGGUUAAUACCCCGCUGUUCUGACGGUACCCAAAGAAUAAGCACCGGCUAACUUCGUG